rnacentral:rRNA from 1 species
UACGAAGGGGGCUAGCGUUGCUCGGAAUCACUGGGCGUAAAGGGUGCGUAGGCGGGUCUUUAAGUCAGGGGUGAAAUCCUGGAGCUCAACUCCAGAACUGCCUUUGAUACUGAGGAUCUUGAGUUCGGGAGAGGUGAGUGGAACUGCGAGUGUAGAGGUGAAAUUCGUAGAUAUUCGCAGGAACACCAGUGCGAAGGCGGCUCACUGGCCCGAUACUGACGCUGAGGCACGAAAGCGUGGGGAGCAAACAGG